rnacentral:rRNA from 1 species
GACGAACGCUGGCGGCGUGCUUAACACAUGCAAGUCGAACGGAAAGGCCCUGCUUUUGUGGGGUGCUCGAGUGGCGAACGGGUGAGUAACACGUGAGUAACCUGCCCUUGACUUUGGGAUAACUUCAGGAAACUGGGUCUAAUACCGGAUAGGAUCUCCUGCUGCAUGGUGGGGGUUGGAAAGUUUCGGCGGUUGGGGAUGGACUCGCGGCUUAUGAGCUUGUUGGUGGGGUAGUGGCUUACCAAGGCUUUGACGGGUAGCCGGCCUGGGAGGGUGGCCGGCCACCUUGGGACUGAGAGAGGGCGCAGACUCCAACCGGCGGCAGCAGUGGGAAAUAUGGCACAGUGGGCGGGAGCCUGAUGCGGCGGCGCCGCGUGCGGGAUGACGGCCUUCGGGUUGUAAACCGCUUUCGCCUGUGACGAAGCGUGAGUGACGGUAAUGGGUAAAGAAGCAACGGCUAACUACGUG